GGGGCAGAUGAAGGACCAACAAGAGCAGAGGCAGGAAAGAGAAAAGUCUAGAAAUAGCAACUCUGUGUGCUAUUUCUAGAACAGCACAGAAGGUGGUGCUGUAAGUGCAGUACAAGAGGAGCCAGAAAGACCUCAUAGGUUCAACCAGGCUCUUCUCCAAGACCAGGUAAGCAGGGAGGCUUCUCUCUUCCCACCUGGACCCUUGAUGCAUCCAGCUAUACACAACCUCCACAGCCAUCUACUAGGUGGAGUGAGGUGCCAUAGUCGUCCCAGCAGAAACACGGGAGAGGAGGGAUCCAGGAUGAUGAUGGGGUGUUGAAUAAUGAAGGCGAACAUGGUAGAACCACACUGGCAAGAAGUCUUGUUUGGUUCUGAUUCAACAAGUUGCAGAGAGCUUAGCUCGGGUGCAAGCUGAUUUGUUUGAGAGACUUAGGCGGCAGGCAAUACUUCCAAACUUUUUCAGCAGCUAAAACAGAAGAGAGAAGGCCAACUUGAUGUAACCCAGCACAAUGGCUUGAAAGUGUUCCUCAGCUACUGGAUGGAGCAGACACGAGGGUGUGACAGUGAGGAAAGGGCUCAAAUACAAGAAAAAUUACAAGAAAAGAAGUAUUAACUAAAAGUGUGGCCACAUGUUGUACACCUUAAGCUAAUAUAAUCUUACAUGUCAAUUAUACUUUAAUUAGAAAGAAAGAAGGAAAGAAAGAAAGAAAGAAAGGAAGAAAGA